GAUGAACGCUGGCGGCGUGCCUAACACAUGCAAGUCGAGCGAACAGACGAGGCUUUCGCUCCACUGACGUUACCGACGGGUGAGUAAGUCAUAGGUGGAUAACCUACCUAUAAGACUGAGGUAACUGCGGGAAAGCCGAGCUCAUACCCGAUAAUAUAUUGAACGUGAUGGUUCAAUAGUGAUAGCGGUGUUGGAUGUGCCUGAGCCAUAUUAGCUAGUUGGUGGGGUAACGGCUUACCAAGGCGGCGAUGCGUAGCCGAGCUGAGAGGGUGACCGGCCACACUGGAACUGAGACACGGUCCAGACUCCUACGGGAGGCAGCAGUAGGGAAGCUUGGGCGAUGGGCGAAAGCCUGAACGAGCAACGCCGCGUGAGUGAAGAAGGUCUUCGGAUCGUAAAACUCUGUUAUUGGGGAAGAACAAAUGUGUAAGUAACUAUGCACGUUUUGACGGUACCUAAACAAAAAGCACCGGCUAACUACGUG
rnacentral:rRNA from 1 species